rnacentral:rRNA from 1 species
AUUGAACGCUGGCGGCAGGCCUAACACAUGCAAGUCGAGCGGAUGAGAGGAGCUUGCUUCUCGAUUCAGCGGCGGACGGGUGAGUAAUGCCUAGGAAUCUGCCUGGUAGUGGGGGACAACGUUUCGAAAGGAACGCUACUACCGCAUACGUCCUACGGGAGAAAGCAGGGGACCUUCGGGCCUUGCGCUAUCAGAUGGGCCUAGGUCGGAUUAGCCAGUUGGUGAGGUAAUGGCUCACCAAGGCGACGAUCCGUAACUGGUCUGAGAGGAUGAUCAGUCACACUGGAACUGAGACACGGUCCAGACUCCUACGGGAGGCAGCAGUGGGGAAUAUUGGACAAUGGGCUAAAGCCUGAUCCAGCCAUGCCGCGUGUGUGAAGAAGGUCUUCGGAUUGUAAAGCACUUUAAGUUGGGAGGAAGGGUUGUAGAUUAAUACUCUGCAAUUUUGACGUUACCGACAGAAUAAGCACCGGCUAACUCUGUGCCAGCAGCCGCCGUAACAC